GAUGAACGCUGACGGCGUGCCUAAUACAUGCAAGUCGAGCGAACAGACGAGGAGCUUGCUCCUCUGACGUUAGCGGCGGACGGGUGAGUAACACGUGGAUAACCUACCUAUAAGACUGGGAUAACUUCGGGAAACCGGAGCUAAUACUGGAUAAUAUAUUGAACCGCAUGGUUCAAUAGUGAAAGACGGUUUUGCUGUCACUUAUAGAUGGAUCCGCGCCGCAUUAGCUAGUUGGUAAGGUAACGGCUUACCAAGGCAACGAUGCGUAGCCGACCUGAGAGGGUGAUCGGCCACACUGGAACUGAGACACGGUCCAGACUCCUACGGGAGGCAGCAGUAGGGAAUCUUCCGCAAUGGGCGAAAGCCUGACGGAGCAACGCCGCGUGAGUGAUGAAGGUCUUCGGAUCGUAAAACUCUGUUAUUAGGGAAGAACAAAUGUGUAAGUAACUAUGCACGUCUUGACGGUACCUAAUCAGAAAGCCACGGCUAACUACGUG
rnacentral:rRNA from 1 species